UCCGUCCUGGCCUGUUGUGGGGCCGAGCGCGGGCGGGAGCGAGGGUGUCUGAGUCAGAGCUGCAUCGACGGAGGAAUAAACGCCAAAACUCCUUUCUCGGCCGCUCUCACACCCCCAGCCUCCGGCUUCUUCCUCACGACCGUCGAUGCUGUCAGUAUACGUGUUCUUUAUGAAUCUCUAACAGCAUAUUUUCGGCCUAAACUGCGCGAAAAGCCGGGCAGACCCGCCGGAUCUCACACACGCAGAAGGACUACCUGAGGGGAGGGGAAGAGGGGCGCGAGAAAGGAGCGGGAAUUUUUGCAGACCUGCUCAGGAGGUUUUGACUGAAACUUUCAGUAAGACAUUCGAGGCUGAAAAUCUUCCCCGAAGCGUUUAGGACUCCAAGGCAAGUGGGAGAAAGCUUCUUUCCUUAGAGCGAGUGCGAGAGCAUUCGCUGAAGGCAUUUCUGUUCUGCAGGGAAUGAGACAAGCAGAGAACGAGCCUCGUUUGCUUGUUAGGGAACGGCGCUCGGGGAGUAGGAAUGGCGUGCUUCCAUCCAAACCAGCGGGCGCUGCCAAUGCCAGGAGCUCACUCAGCCUUUCAGGGCAGACACAGCUCCGGCCAUUCGUAAGCAGCCCGUCUUUCUAACCACCAUAUCUCCUCCCAGCUCCCGCUGUACUCCUACGCCGCCCUGCCUCCCCUUCCCGGCUUCAGCCCCUCCAGCGAUACGGCUGGUGGAGGGAGGGGAGGCGGCGGCUGGGGUUUCGUUCGACGCCCACCAGGGGCUGAGCGAGCCUUCUUCAGUGCGCAAACUCGGGGCACCAGAUAAAAGCUGGGCUGGCAGCUCUUACCCUGCCUCGAUGGAGCCGCCACUUUCGGGUGACUGGAGAAGCAGUUAGCAGCAGCGCCAUAGACUAGCGUCCCUCCCACACCUUGGGCACAGAGAGUUUGGGGCUCUAAACAGCUGCUGCUGCGGCAGGAGGGAGCCGAGGGCGCUUGGCUGGGGCUGCUCGCUCGGGUUCUGCCUGUUGUUGCGCGAAAUGGCGGCUGGCGUCUUGGCUUUCACUGCACUGGGAUUGUUUCUUACACAGCUGAAAGAGCUGCUCCUACAGGUCAUCGUCCUGGGUGGGAGCAGCAGCAGCUUACUCCAGGACAGGACAUGAAACUUGGAAUAUAGCUGAAGGUGCUGUGCAGAUCAGGAUACUGAAUGGCACAGAAGAACUAUUGGACCCCAGGCUAACACUUUCCAAACCACUCUACUGACAACAUGUCAUAACCAGACCAGAACACAACUACAAAUAACAGUAGGAAAUCUACCGACAUCAUGCCAAGAGAUGUGCAGCCGGAGAAGCGAGUGGCAGCAGCGUGGUGACCUCAGGCUGUGAUGGGAUGGGAAUGAAAGCCUCCAGCUGGCACUGCUCUCCGCAGAGUGCCAUCCUGUCUGCCACGUUUUUGGUUGGUGCCUGACGAAGACGUGAGCCCUCCUCAGCUGUUCUCUGCAGCUGCGUUGCCGGGGAUGCCCUCAGAUCUGCGUUCAGGGACUAACCAUCUCGCAUCUGGGAGAGAGAAGACAAAGGGAAGACAGCAAGUUGAGUGCUGGACUGUGGGUCAAAACUUCAUCUGUAUAAUCCUAACAUGGAAACAUGCUGAAAAAAGGAGGGAACAGGAGUGAGAACUGGAAAAACUGCUUCAGGCUGUUGUUUUCUGGCACAAUGCCCAGCCGGCACUGCACCAGGCAGCUCAGACCUGGAGCCUGUUUUCCCUGCUGUGUGCUGCCUGCGUCAUUUUCUGGCCUGGGACGACAUCUGGCUGGCAUGUUGUUUUCCACACCCCUGGAGGAGUGCUCUUUCUAGCCAGUUACUGCAGUGCUUGGCAUUAAAAUACAGUGAAUUAGACUACAAAGUAUCAUGAGAUGGGCUUAAAAAUAAUGAGGCUUAAGUGCAGUUGAGCUUUGAGUACUUUUUGUUUGCCUUCUGGGUUAAAAAACAUUACAAUAUGUGAUGUCCAUGAAUUCUUGCAUUUCAUCAUGACUGUGAGUGUUCAGAAGUCACCUUAAGAAUAGGAAAAACAAAAACCGACAGAAUGAAUGAACAAACCAAAACCACAAAAAACCCAACAAAAUACAACAAACAUAAUGCACCCAUAUCUCUUUAUUGAGAAGUCCAGGAUAAAUUAUUUGGGUUUUCAGAUUAACACUAGUUAUUACAAACUCUCAAUUAAAAAAAAGAGGGUAAUUAGCAAUAGAAAGUAGAAGGGAGAUGGUGGGAAGAGAAAAUUCACAGAAAUGGGGAAGAAGACUCAUUACCUUCAAGAGAUUGUUCAAGUCCAGUAAGAAGCAGGCGUUGUGAUGAUGUAACACCACACAGUUGUCUCCAGAUUUUAUUUUCCCAGUGUCUGGAAAGACUUCUCCCACUAGCAGACAAGGGUCCUAGAUGAACAGAAUUCACAGUCUGGAAACAGACACCACUGACUGUAACACUGGUCUUCUACACUGCCAAGCCAGCCUGUGUGCUCCUACAUCCACCAAGUUGUACCAGCACAAGGAACUUGGGCUUAACUUCUUUCACUUCCUUCUGGGUUUCAGCAGCACCUUUGCAUAACGAUGUGUUCCAGUUUUCAGUGACAACCUGUUGCAAAUCUUCCAAUCUACCCCAGCAGUGCAAACAAUUUUCACAAAACCUGGUGUUUUUACACAAUGUGGAGCAGAGGUACUGUGUGCUGGCAGAGUUGUUUAAUGUACUGUCCAGUUGCAGGCACAGGUCUGGGUGCCACGUUAGCUCAACCUGAUUUUUUCUAGCUGAGGAAUUCUGGAGAAAGCUACAAAUGUGAGGGUUACACACCAGUAAUUUUUCUGUUGGUCUGUGUGGCUUUAUUACUUCUCAACACAGUAAUAAAGCUUUCUGGCUUUACCUCUUAGAGGUAGAAUGGAUAAGCUUAGGUGAAAUACAUCCCUUCCAACUACAGCAAGAAAAUAAUUCAGUACCAAUAACAAGUUAGCGCUAUUAAUGCAUUAAAAUCUGGCCUCUGUGCACAUGCCUAUCAGUUAAAAACAUACUGCAAGAAGAUGGGAAUGGUACCCUUUAAGAGUGUAACCACACAUGUAGCAGCUGCUCUGAUAUCAUGUGUCAGUGUCUCCUCGUUGAAAUUUACUGAAUUAUUGAUGCAUUUGUGAGAUUAAUUAAGCAUUGGAGUAACCUGCCCAGAAACACCAUGUGCUUUUCAGUGCUGAUGUUUAUGGGACCUGGAUGGAUAAUGCCCUGAACCCGUGGAGCAGGAGGUUGCACUAGAGGCCACCCAAAGCUGCUCAAACAUGAAUAUUCCUUCAGUACUGUGACUCCGUGCAUCCCAGGCAUGGAUCUCAGGUUCUGAGAUUCUUCCCUGCACUUUCCAGUCUGUAAAAGUUCAGCUGUGGUUCUUCAUCCUCUGUAAUUCUUGUAAAAAGGAAAAAAAAAUACAUGCUACUGAAACAUAGUAAAA